AUGUGAACAGAAACUUUUUCUGUAUCAUCCAAACAAACUAAUAAGAUCAGAAGCCAUGGAAACUGAGCAAUGUAAUGGCGACUUUCAAGAAGAGAUACAGAUAUUUUGGUGGAAUACUCAACUGAUUCCAUUUUCGGAAUAUCCAAAGCAUAUAUACAUAGCAUGAAAAAAAUAUCCAACCUAUAUUAAGUGACUUCAAAUUGAUAGCUAAGCAACAUCUAAGGUUGGAGGUGAGGUUCUCAAUCCACUUGGUGAGUACAGCAGAAUGUUUGCCAAGUGACAGUCAACCUUAAUGUAUUCUGUCAAUUCACGGGAUACAGGAUUUCUUGCUAUAUGUAUGGCAUACUGACUGUCACAUAAGAUUGAAGCAGGCUGAGGAAAAGACCCAUCUAACUCUCUGAACAACCUGCACAACCAAGUAAUUUCUCCAACCAGUUUUUUGAGGGAUUAGUGUUCAGAUUCUGCUGAUGAUAUGGAAAUUGUUUCUUGCUUCAAGGAUUUCCAUAUUAUAGGUCUGUUUCCUAGAAAUAAAAGGUAACCACUGAUUGAUCUCCUAGAGUCGGGACAUGUGGCCCUAUCUGAAUCACAGUAACCAAUUAUGGUGCAGUCAGGAUCAUUUGAAAGAAAAUGCCAAGUGUAGCAUAUGUCUUGAGAUACCUGAGCAAAUGAAAGCUGCUUGUGGGUGGGGUUCCCUUGGAUUUUGCAUGAACUGGCUUUGAUAUUGGACAUUAUAGGCAAUUUCAAGCUUAGUGUUUGUCAAGAAAUUUAACUUCCCUAUUAACUUUCUACAAAAGGAAAGAUAUGAUAUUGCUGGACAUUCCUUAUCUUUUCGUUUUACGGUAGAGAUCAAGAGAAGUGAAGAUGCCAAAACUAAGACAAUCAUACUCCUUCAAGUCACCACCGAACUUCCUUUGUGAGAUAAAGACUCCAUCCAUUCAGUAUAGAACUUCCAAACCCAAAA